AAAAAUAACCUAAUUGAAUUAAAAUCUCAAAUAAAUCUCAAAUCAAUUUAAAAAUUGACGAGAAUAUUUUUCAUAGAUUCAUCCUCAUUCAAAUAGGCUAGGAAAAUAUUGUUUGCAUUUUUUGAAUAUCAAAACUAUUUAAAAUGAAUUAAAAAUAACCAGAAAAGAGAAAAUUCACAAAAAAUAUCAAAUGACAAAAUAAAAAAUAUUAAAAAUAAAAAAUAAUAACUAAAAAUUAUUUGGGAAAUAAUGCAAUUGGUCCCAUAAUUUUUGGAUAAAAAAUGAAAGAGAUAUUAAUUUUUGAAAUAAAAAGGAAUUUAAGAAAAUAAAAUGGAAUUAAAACAGAAAAUAAAAAAAAGGAAAAAACGAGAGCCCUUAGAUCUGAGCUCAUUAAUUGAGCUGGCAGAUCCAAG
rnacentral:lncRNA from 1 species